UUUUGCGCAAUGGGCGAAAGCCUGACGCAGCGACACCGCGUGAAUGUUAAGCCCUUCGGGGUGUAAAGUUCUGUCAAUAGGGACGAAUUUUGACUGUACCUAUAAAGGAAGCACCGGCUAACUCCGUCCCAGCAGCCGCGGUAAUACAGGGGGGUGCAAGCGUUGUCCGGAAUCAUUGGGCGUAAAGCGUUCGUAGGCGGCAAGGUAAGUCUGAUGUUAAAGCCCGGGGCUCAACUCCGGUUCGGCAUUGGAUACUAUCUAGCUAGAAUGUGGUAGAGGUAAAGGGAAUUCCUGGUGUAGCGGUGAAAUGCGUAGAUAUCAGGAGGAACAUCGGUGACGAAAGCGCUCUACUGGACCAUUAUUGACGCUGAGGAACGAAAGCCAGGGGAGCAAAUGGG
rnacentral:rRNA from 1 species